rnacentral:rRNA from 1 species
AACGGCCGUACCAUGCUGAAUAUACCGGUUCUCGUUAGAUCACCGAAGUUAAGCAUCAUUGGGCGCGGUCAGUACUUGGGUGGGUGACCACCUGGGAACACUGCGUGCCGUCG